UACGUAGGGGGCAAGCGUUGUCCGGAAUCAUUGGGCGUAAAGAGCGUGUAGGCGGCUCGGUAAGUCCGCUCUGAAAGCCCGGGGCUCAACCCCGGGAGGCGGGCGGAUACUGUCGGGCUAGAGUCCGGAAGAGGCGAGUGGAAUUCCUGGUGUAGCGGUGAAAUGCGCAGAUAUCAGGAGGAACACCGAUGGCGAAGGCAGCUCGCUGGGACGGUACUGACGCUGAGGCGCGAAAGCGUGGGGAGCAAACAGG
rnacentral:rRNA from 1 species